GACGAAUCAUCUGGAAAGAUGAAUCAAAGAAGGUAAUAAUCCUGUAGUCGAAAAUGUUGUCUCUCUUGAGUGGAUCCUGAGUACGACGGAGCACGUGAAAUUCCGUCGGAAUCUGGGAGGACCAUCUCCUAAGGCUAAAUACUCUCUAGUGACCGAUAGUGAACCAGUACCGUGAGGGAAAGGUGAAAAGCACCCCGGAAGGGGAGUGAAAUAGAACCUGAAACCGUGUGCUUACAAGUAGUCAGAGCCCGUUAAUGGGUGAUGGCGUGCCUUUUGUAGAAUGAACCGGCGAGUUACGAUUUGAUGCAAGGUUAAGCAGUAAAUGUGGAGCCGUAGCGAAAGCGAGUCUGAAUAGGGCGUUUAGUAUUUGGUCGUAGACCCGAAACCAGGUGAUCUACCCUUGGUCAGGUUGAAGUUCAGGUAACACUGAAUGGAGGACCGAACCGACUUACGUUGAAAAGUGAGCGGAUGAACUGAGGGUAGCGGAGAAAUUCCAAUCGAACCUGGAGAUAGCUGGUUCUCUCCGAAAUAGCUUUAGGGCUAGCCUCAAGUGAUGAUUAUUGGAGGUAGAGCACUGUUUGGACGAGGGGCCCCUCUCGGGUUACCGAAUUCAGACAAACUCCGAAUGCCAAUUAAUUUAACUUGGGAGUCAGAACAUGGGUGAUAAGGUCCGUGUUCGAAAGGGAAACAGCCCAGACCACCAGCUAAGGUCCCAAAAUAUAUGUUAAGUGGAAAAGGAUGUGGCGUUGCCCAGACAACUAGGAUGUUGGCUUAGAAGCAGCCAUCAUUUAAAGAGUGCGUAAUAGCUCACUAGUCGAGUGACACUGCGCCGAAAAUGUACCGGGGCUAAACAUAUUACCGAAGCUGUGGAUUGUCCUUUGGACAAUGGUAGGAGAGCGUUCUAAGGGCGUUGAAGCAUGAUCGUAAGGACAUGUGGAGCGCUUAGAAGUGAGAAUGCCGGUGUGAGUAGCGAAAGACGGGUGAGAAUCCCGUCCACCGAUUGACUAAGGUUUCCAGAGGAAGGCUCGUCCGCUCUGGGUUAGUCGGGUCCUAAGCUGAGGCCGACAGGCGUAGGCGAUGGAUAACAGGUUGAUAUUCCUGUACCACCUAUAAUCGUUUUAAUCGAUGGGGGGACGCAGUAGGAUAGGCGAAGCGUGCGAUUGGAUUGCACGUCUAAGCAGUAAGGCUGAGUAUUAGGCAAAUCCGGUACUCGUUAAGGCUGAGCAGUGAUGGGGAGAAGACAUUGUGUCUUCGAGUCG
rnacentral:rRNA from 1 species